rnacentral:tRNA from 5 species
GUUGGGAUAGCUCAGUUGGUAGAGCAGAGGACU